rnacentral:rRNA from 1 species
UGGGGAAUAUUGCACAAUGGGCGCAAGCCUGAUGCAGCCAUGCCACGUGUAUGAAGAAGGCCUUCGGGUUGUAAAGUACUUUCAGCGAGGAGGAAGGCGUUGUGGUUAAUAACCGCAGCGAUUGACGUUACUCGCAGAAGAAGCACCGGCUAACUCCGUGCCAGCAGCCGCGGUAAUACGGAGGGUGCAAGCGUUAAUCGGAAUUACUGGGCGUAAAGCGCACGCAGGCGGUCUGUCAAGUCGGAUGUGAAAUCCCCGGGCUCAACCUGGGAACUGCAUCCGAAACUGGCAGGCUAGAGUCUUGUAGAGGGGGGUAGAAUUCCAGGUGUAGCGGUGAAAUGCGUAGAGAUCUGGAGGAAUACCGGUGGCGAAGGCGGCCCCCUGGACAAAGACUGACGCUCAGGUACGAAAGCGUGGGGAGCAAACA